UACAGAGGUCUCGAGCGUUAAUCGGAUUCAUUGGGCUUAAAGCGUACGUAGGCGGAUGUGCAGGCAUCGUGUGAAAUCCCCUGGCUCAACCAGGGAACUGCUCGGUGAACCGCACGUCUUGAGGCAAGUAGAGGCUGUCGGAACGAUAGGUGGAGCGGUGAAAUGCGUAGAUAUCUAUCGGAACGCCGAAGGUGAAAACAGGCAGCUGGGCUUGUUCUGACGCUAAGGUACGAAAGCGUGGGGAGCGAAC
rnacentral:rRNA from 1 species